CAUUUUUUUCUGAUAAAUAAGAGCGAUCUCUGUGGAUUAAAUUGAACUACAAAUACGAUGAGUACCUUGAAUUCUGUGGAUCGAGUUGAACUGUGCGACAGCCUUUUAACAUGGAUCCAGACGUUUGGAUUGGAGGCACCAUGCAGAACAGUGGACGAUCUCACAAGUGGGAUCGUCAUGGCCCAGGCCCUACAAAAAAUAGACAUCGUGUAUUUCACUGACAACUGGAUCAGUAGGAUCAAGCCCGAGGUGGGAGAUAACUGGCGGCUAAAGAUCAGUAAUCUAAAGAAGGUGUUGAAAGGUAUACUGGACUACAACCAGGAGGUCCUUCAACAGCAGAUCAAUGACUUCACCCUGCCAGACAUCAACCUGAUAGGAGAACACUCAGACGCUGCAGAGCUGGGCAGGAUGCUGCAACUCAUACUAGGCUGUGCUGUCAACUGUGAACAGAAACAAGAAUACAUCCAGACCAUAAUGAUGCUGGAGGAAUCUGUUCAACACGUUGUCAUGACAGCCAUUCAAGAGCUAAUGAGCAAAGAGUGUCCUGUAAUGGGAGGAAACGACUCGUACGCUGACAUCGAUAGACAGCUGAAGAAGACGGUGGAGGAUUUGAACGAGGCUCUAGCCACCAAGGAGGAGAUCGCACAGAGAUGUCACGAGCUGGACAUGCAGGCUUUCCAUGUACAGGAGCAGCGAGAUAGACUGAGGUUAGAGUAUAUUGAACUAGAGGAGAGGGUGGCAGCGCUACAGGAGGAGAGGGGUAGUCUCCUGGCUGAGAACCAGAUCCUCAUGGAGCGUCUCAACCAGUCUGACUCCAUAGAAGACCUGAACAGCCCUGUAGGACGUAGACACCUGCAGCUGCAGACACAGCUAGAACAGCUCCAGGAGGAGACCUUCAGGCUGGAGGCAGCGAAGGAUGACUAUCGUAUCCGCUGUGAGGAGUUGGAGAAGGAGCUGACAGAGCUGAGAGGACAGAAUGAAGAGCUCACCUCCCUGGCUGACGAGGCCCAGACACUGAAGGAUGAAAUGGAUGUACUCAGACACUCGUCAGACAAGGUGUCCAAGCUGGAGGUCAUGGUGGAGUCGUAUAAGAAGAAGCUGGAGGACCUGGGAGAUCUGAGGAGACAGGUCAAGCUGUUGGAGGAGAAGAACACUCUGUACAUGCAGAACACUGUCAGCCUGGAGGAAGAAGUACGCAAGGCCAACACCACGAGAGGACAGCUGGAGUCCUACAAGAGACAGGUGGUAGAGCUGCAGAACAAGCUGUCUGAGGAGUCUAAAAAGACAGACAAGAUGGAGUUUGAAUACAAGAGACUCAAGGAGAAGGUGGACUCUCUCCAGAAAGAAAAGGAUCGGAUGAGGUCAGAGAGAGACUCCCUAAAGGAGACCAUUGAGGAGCUGCGUUUUGUUGAGGCUCAGGAAGGACAACUGUCUACAGGCAUGGUUCCACUGGACAGUAACGAGGGCUCUGAUUCGCUGGCUGCAGAGAUCGUCACCCCAGAGAUCCGAGAGAAGCUGAUCAGACUACAGCAUGAGAACAACAUGCUGAAGCUGGCCCAGGAGGGUUCUGAUAAUGUGUUAGACAGUAAUGUGGGUAAUGUGGUGGUCCUGUGUUCCAGAGAGAAGCUGAUCAGACUACAGCAUGAGAACAACAUGCUGAAGCUGGCCCAGGAGGGUUCUGAUAAUGUGUUAGACAGUAAUGUGGUGGUCCUGUGUUCCAGAGAGAAGCUGAUCAGACUACAGCAUGAGAACAACAUGCUGAAGCUGGCCCAGGAGGGUUCUGAUAAUGAGAACAUCGCUCUGCUGCAGAGUUUACUGGAGGACGCUAACAGUAGGAAGAACGAACUGGAGACCGAGAACAGACUGGUGAACCAGAGACUGAUCGAGGGUCAAAGUCAGGUGGAGGAGCUGCAGAGGAGUCUUCAGGAACAGGGCUCCAAAGCAGACGAUGCGAUUUCAAUCAUUCUGAAGAAGAAAAAUGAUGCUCACAUGGAGAAGUUAAGGGAAGUGAACAGUGAACUGCAGAAGAAGUGUGCGCACAUCGAUGACUUGGAGCCCAAGUACACCUCUAGUUCCCAGAAAGUAGAGGAACUGGAAGAGGCGUUAAAGAAGAAGGAUGAAGACAUGAAGCAGAUGGAAGACAGAUAUAAGAAGUACCUGGAGAAGGCAAAGAGUGUUAUCCGGACCCUGGACCCUAAGCAGAACCAGGGCUCGGCACCAGAGGUCCAGACCCUGAAGAACCAGCUGCAGGAGAGGGAAAGGAUGCUGCACUCUCUGGAGAAAGAUUACGACAAGACCAAGGCUCAGAGAGACCAGGAGGAGAAACUCAUAGUGUCUGCCUGGUACAACAUGGGCAUGGCUCUCCAGAAGAAGGCAGCAGAGGACCGUCUGGCCAGUACGGGUUCCGGACAGUCCUUCCUGGCCCGCCAGAGACAGGCUACCAGCACACGCCGCUCCUACCCCGGAUACCCGGGACCCCAGUCCGCCACCGCUAGGUAGACAGGGCGCCGUGACUCUUCAACCCGACCUUUGACCUCCGACCCUUCCAGGCCAGGUACCACCACGGCCAGUGAUGACAUUACAUGACCAGCGCAGGCAGGGGUGAUGGGCGGGUGCAUGACCAUGGCUUAAUAAUGAGUCGAGCUGAAAAUAACCCUUCAUCAAUUCAACACUAACCCUCAACUCUAACGGAGGACGGGCCGGGCGGGCGGGCCCAGAUUAUGCCCAGGACUGGGUGGGGUAAGGGCUCUCUACAGACCCAGACGGCGCCGCCCUCUCAGAGGCCACCCUAACCUACCGCCCCCUCCUCCUCCUCCUUCACUCACAGACCUGCAUCUGCUUGCGAACCUCUAUCGUCAUGACAUACUCUGAGACAACAACAGUAGUCUCUAGUGGGGUAACGGGGAGAGCUGGAGCUAGGGAUAAACAAAACAAAAACAUGCUGUGUCCAAGGUCAAGGAAACCUCUUGUUCUAAAUGUGUGGUGCAAAGCGAGGACUACAUGGAAGACAGUGUUAUUCUUAGUGACCGGAUGGUUUUCUGUAGACUUUGACAAUGACGAUGAUCAAGCGACUAGCAACACAUGGUUACUGUACUGUAAACCUGGUGUGUAUCUGUUGGGUGUUCCACCCACUUCUCUCUCUUUGUGUUUCACUGGGUCUGAGAGGAAAAGAGCAAUAUCAUCAUUUAUUUCACAUGAUCCUCUAAUCAAAUGUGUAUAUACUGAGUGUACAAAACAUAAGACUCUGGACUCUACAAGGUGUGGAAAGCGUUCCACAGGGAUGCUGGCCCAUGUUGACUCCAAUACUUCCCACUGUUGUUCCAAGUUGGCUGGAUGUCUUUUGGGUGGUGAACCAUUCUUGAUCCACACGGGAAACUGUUGAGAGUGAAAAACCCAGCAGGGUUAAAGUUCACGACUCAAACCGGUGCGUCUGGCACCUACUACAAUACCCCAUUCAAAGGCACUUUAUAAUGUUGUCUUGCCCACGUUCAAAAUCCUUCUGUAACUCCUCCCCGUCAUCUACCCGGUGUCCCAUGUCUGAAUCAGACCCUGGUGUCCCAUGUCUAAAUCAGACCCUGGUGUCCCAUGUCUAAAUCAGACCCUGGUGUCCCAUGUCUAAAUCAGACCCUGGUGUCCCAUGUCUAAAUCAGACCCUGGUGUCCCAUGUCUAAAUCAGACCCUGGUGUCCCACGUCUAAACCAGACCCUGGUGUCCCAUGUCUAAAUCAGACCCUGGUGUCCCACGUCUAAACCAGACCUGGAUUCAAACUCACUUCCAGAGUUGAGUUGGAGUGCUCUAUGUCACGGAAAGAGCAGGUGUUCUUAAUGUUUUCUACACUCAGUCUACAUCUAGAUGUUCAGUUUCCAUGUAUUUCUGUUUAAGUGUUCUGAUGACUUAACCUCUAUGUAAGGAGUGCUCUGCUUCUUUAUUUCACUGAUAAUAACCUUGAUGUGUCUCUCUAAAUGGUGGAGGGUAUUGGUAGAAGAGAUCACAUGCUUCUAUCUAGCCUGUAUGACUUUGAAAUGUAUUCCUGUUUUAUUUAACAUACAUAUGCAGUAUUGACUUAGAUUCAUACAUUUCCUACAUUGUAUAAAAUGUGUAAAACCUUUCUCUAACCUUUUUAUAAAACAAGUAGGCUUGUUGAUAGGAUGCCAUGGCAGAGCCUUUUUGAAAAAUACAGCAAGAUGGCCGAUGCAGUAAGACUGCCCUGUCCCGGGUCGUGGUUCAUUAGCUGAUGGCCCACGCAGUAAGACUGCCCUGUCCCGGGUCGUGUUCAUUAUCAGAUGGCUCACGCAGUAAGACUGCCCUGUCCCGGGUCGUGGUUCAUUAGCUGAUGGCCCACGCAGUAAGACUGCCCUGUCCCGGGUCGUGGUUCAUUAGCUGAUGGCCCACGCAGUAAGACUGCCCUGUCCCGGGUCGUGGUUCAUUAGCAGAUGUCCCACAUAGUAAGACUGCCCUGUCCCGGGUCGUGGUUCAUUAGCAGAUGUCCCACGCAGUAAGACUGCCCUGUCCCGGGUCGUGGUUCAUUAGCAGAUGUCCCACAUAGUAAGACUGCCCUGUCCCGGGUCGUGGUUCAUUAGCAGAUGGCCCACGUAGUAAGACUGCCCUGUCCCGGGUCGUGGUUCAUUAGCAGAUGGCCCACGUAGUAAGACUGCCCUGUCCCGGGUCAUGUUCAUUAGGCACCAAACGUUAGAAAACGGACUGAAAUGGGGAAGUUCUACCUCCACCUGUCCAGUAUAAAACACUCAUUUUAGUACGAGAACAAACACACGUUUUCAUUUUUUAUUGAACCUUUAUUGAACUAAGCAAGAACAAAUUCUUAUUUACAAUGACGGCCUACCCCGUUCAAACCUUCCCCUAGACCGGACGACACUGGGCCCGGGAUCGAACCCGGGUCUAUAGUGAUGCCUCUAGACCCGCUGCGUCACUAAUGGACCACUAACCAAUGGACAGACGGGUAGAAGUCAAAGAGGAUCUUUCCUAUCAUGUUAUAUCAUGAACAUGUUGAAAGUGUUUUCGCCUCGAGUGUAAAAACCAAACCGGUGUGAGUAAGAGUAGACUUAUUGACUUGUUGCUGAUACUGUGUGUUUUUCAGUUUAUAAUAAAAGGAUGUGUCCAUAUUAUUAUGUAACUGAUGAACUUUGUAUGGCUGUUACUACUUGUGUUAAAUACUAGUCUCCUGACAUGUGGUGAUAUGAUUGGUAGGGCAACGUGUUACUACUUGUGUCCCAGAUCAGUUAGUCUCCUGGCCUGGUCCCAGAUCAGUUAGUCUCCUGGCCUUGUCCCAGAUCGGUUAGUCUCCUGACAUGUGGUGAUAUGAUUGGUAGGGCAAUGUGUUACUACUUGUGUCCCAGAUCAGUUAGUCUCCUGCCCUGGUCCCAGAUCGGUUAGUCUCUUGGCCUGGUCCCAGAUCGGUUAGUCUCCUGGCCUGGUCCCAGAUCGGUUAGUCUCCUGGCCUGGUCCCAGAUCGGUUAGUCUCCUGGCCUGGUCCCAGAUCGGUUAGUCUCCUAGCCUUGUCCCAGAUCGGUUAGUCUCCUAGCCUUGUCCCAGAUCGGUUAGUCUCCUAGCCUGGUCCCAGAUCGGUUAGUCUCCUAGCCUGGUCCCAGGUCGGUUAGUCUCCUAGCCUGGUCCCAGGUCGGUUAGUCUCCUAGCCUGGUCCCAGGUCGGUUAGUCUCCUAGCCUGGUCCCAGGUCGGUUAGUCUCCUAGCCUGGUCCCAGGUCGGUUAGUCUCCUAGCCUGGUCCCAGGUCGGUUAGUCUCCUAGCCUGGUCCCAGGUCGGUUAGUCUCCUAGCCUGGUCCCAGAUCGGUUAGUCUCCUAGCCUGGUCCCAGAUCGGUUAGUCUCCUAGCCUGGUCCCAGAUCGGUUAGUCUCCUAGCCUGGUCCCAGAUCAGUGUGUGCUGUCUUGACAAGUGAUCUGGGACCAGGCUAGUGUUCUACACAGGACAAUAAACCUCUAGCAUAGUUACACCAGACUGAAUGUUUCAAACAAUGGUGAGCGUAAUGUUCAAUCUGGCUUUCCUAGAGAGGCUAAAAAAACCUCUAGGAGAAAAUACAACUUACAGGCUUUUCAGUCAGAACUUAAUCGCCGGGUUUUAUGGGUGCUGUAUUUUUGAUUCAUAGGAAAGACUUAUUUUACAUUAAAAAAUAAAGUAGCAAAUAACCUUUCCAUUUGCCAAGUUUUACAUUGCUGCUUGUAUAAUAUGUAUAUAUAUAUAUAAUAUAUAAUAUGUAAUAUAUAAUAUAUAUAUAUAUAAUAUAUAAUAUGUAAUAUAUAAUAUAUAUAUAUAAUAUAUAAUAUGUAAUAUGUAAUAUAUAAUAUGUAAUAUAUAAUAUGUAAUAUAUAAUAUGUAAUAUAUAAUAUAUAAUAUGUAAUAUAUAAUAUGUAAUAUAUAAUAUGUAAUAUAUAAUAUGUAAUAUAUAAUAUGUAAUAUGUAAUAUAUAAUAUGUAAUAUAUAAUAUGUAAUAUGUAAUAUAUAAUAUGUAAUAUAUAAUAUGUAAUAUAUAAUAUAUAAUAUGUAAUAUAUAAUAUGUAAUAUAUAAUAUAUAAUAUGUAAUAUAUAAUAUGUAAUAUAUAAUAUGUAAUAUAUAAUAUAUAAUAUGUAAUAUAUAAUAUAUAAUAUAUAAUAUGUAAUAUAUAAUAUGUACACCCUGUAUGGGACUAACAAACAGUGGAGGAGGACAUUAGUGGUCAUAGUUACCUGUCCAUUUUGAACCUUGUUGAUAAAAUGUGCUUCCUACGCUCUGACAUGUACAGCUGUUAACCAAGUUGUAAUAAAGCUAAACAACACAG